rnacentral:lncRNA from 1 species
AAAUAAGGCUGAGACCUGCUAGGCUGCAUUCCCAGACGGUUAAGGCAUUCUAAGUCACAGAAUGAGUUAGGAGGUCAGCACAAGGUACAGGUCAUAAAGACUUUGCUGAUAAAACAGGUUUCAGUAAAGAAGCCAGCCAAAACCCACCAAAACCAAAAUGGCGGCAAGAAUGACCUCUGGUCGUCCUCACUGCUACACUCCCACCAGCGCCAUGACAGUUUGCAAAUGCCAUGGCAACAUCAGGAAGUUGCCCUAUAUGAUCUAAAAAAAGGAGGCAUGAAUAAGCCACCCCUUGUUUAGCGUAUCAUCAAGAAAUAACUAUAAAUAAGGGCAACCGGCAGCCCAAGGGGCUGCUCAGUCUGGAGUAGCCAUUUUUUUAUUCCUCCUAAUAAACUUGCUUUCACUUUACAGACUCGCCCUGAAUUCUUUCUUGUGUGAAAUCCAAGAGCCCUCUCUUGGGGUUGGAUCGGGACCCUGUUCCUGUAACAAGUCCACAAUGCCAGAGAAUUAAAGAGAACCACAAAGCUGAACCUCAAAAAGUUAGCCUGGCGAGGGGAGGAUGAUGAGAUUUCCCCUGUUGUCACAUAAACAAGGAAGUAAAGGGGGCCCCUUGUGCUCUCAGAACUCCAAGCAUGAAACGAUUUUCUGCCAUUUCAGUUCCUGUUAUCGUGCUUUGAGGUGCACUGAACUGCAGCAAACCCAGGGGAUCCAAGGCUACGUUGAAAAGCCUUUGACCACAGUGCAGGGAGCAGAAGACAUUAAUGACGUGAUGUCGACACAGCCCGCACUCAGGAUCCUCCAGGAAAAGAACACAGAGAUAACCCCGGAUCGAUGGUACUUUUUGAAAAUGCUUUAUUGCAAAAGAGUGGCUAGG